rnacentral:rRNA from 1 species
UACGAAGGGGGCUAGCGUUGUUCGGAAUCACUGGGCGUAAAGCGUACGUAGGCGGACCAUUAAGUCGGGGGUGAAAUCCCAGGGCUCAACCCUGGAACUGCCUUCGAUACUGGUGGUCUGGAGUCCGGGAGAGGUGAGUGGAACUCCUAGUGUAGAGGUGAAAUUCGUAGAUAUUAGGAAGAACACCAGUGGCGAAGGCGGCUCACUGGCCCGGUACUGACGCUGAGGCACGAAAGCGUGGGGAGCAAACAGGG